UCUCAUCCUCUCGACGAGUACCGUACCUGCUCUCUAUCUCGCGCAAGUGCCACGCUUCCGUCAUUAUCGGUCGUCACUGACGGAAUACCGACGAGUACUGCCGCGCUCUAUGAAUAUCCGUUAUGGUGCACUAUACUCCGUUUGCGAGGCAAGAGCGACGACCGUUACUUCGCGAGCAAGCCGGAAGUAUCCGUUUUGCGCGUUCUUCGAUAUCCCGGAAUACGAGUCGGACACACCAGCGGCACCUGAUUCUUCUCCUGUAUUUAUCCCGCAGCAUCCUAAAAAUCUGACGAUGGGGAAGGACGGGAAACAGGAUAGCCGACAGAGCGGAAGAACUCUCAUGCGAGAUUACCGCUUGACGGAGCUAUACCUUCUGACGAUCUUCUGUGCGUUUACGUCAGGAACACUUUAUUUUACAUAUUUACACCGGUUUCUCUCUCGAGAUUUUUGGUCUACCCUCUCUCUCUCUCUUUCUCUCUCUCUCUCUCUCUCUCUCUUUCUCGAGCGCUCUUUCUCUCUCUUUUCCACGCAUACAUUACUCUUUUGCACACACGCACGCACGCACGUUUCUGAUACGCGUUUCUUCCUUCGAAACAGAUACGAAAAUUAUUUCAUAAAU